rnacentral:rRNA from 1 species
AGCGAACGCUGGCGGCGUGCUUAACACAUGCAAGUCGGGCGGUAAGGCCCUUUCGGGGGUACACGAGCGGCGAACGGGUGAGUAACACGUGGGUGACCUGCCCUCAGCUCUGGGAUAAGCCUGGGAAACCGGGGUCUAAUACCGGAUAUGACUCCAUGACGCAUGUUGUGGGGUGGAAAGCCUUGUGCGGCUGAGGAUGGGCCCGCGGCCUAUCAGCUUGUUGGUGGGGUGAUGGCCUACCAAGGCGACGACGGGUAGCCGGCCUGAGAGGGCGACCGGGCCACACUGGGACUGAGACACGGCCCAGACUCCUACGGGAGGCAGCAGUGGGGAAUCUUGCGCAAUGGGCGAAAGCCUGACGCAGCGACACCGCGUGAGGGAUGACGGCCUGG